rnacentral:rRNA from 1 species
AGAGGUCCCAAGCGUUGUUCGGAUUCACUGGGCGUAAAGGGUGCGUAGGUGGUCGGGUAAGUCUGAUGUGAAAUCUCGGAGCUCAACUCCGAAACGGCAUUGGAUACUAUUCGGCUUGAGGGUUGGAGGGGGGACUGGAAUUCUCGGUGUAGCAGUGAAAUGCGUAGAUAUCGAGAGGAACACCAGUGGCGAAGGCGAGUCCCUGGACAACUCCUGACACUAAGGCACGAAAGCUAGGGGAGCAAACAGGAUUAGAUACCCUGGUAGUCCUAGCCGUAAACGGUGCGUAUUUGCUGUAAAAGGAAUCGACCCCUUUUGUGGCGUAGCCAACGCGUUAAAUACGCCGCCUGGGAAGUACGGUCGCAAGAUUA